rnacentral:tRNA from 1 species
GCGCCCAUAGCUCAGUGGUAGAGCGCUUCGUUGACAUCGAAGAGGUCUGAAGUUCGAUCCUUCAUGGGCGCACCA